UACGUAGGUGGCGAGCGUUGUCCGGAUUUACUGGGCGUAAAGAGCGCGCAGGCGGUCGUGCAAGUCGCGUGUGAAAGCCCCCGGCUCAACUGGGGAGGGUCACGCGAUACUGCUCGACUUGAAGGCAGGAGAGGGAAGUGGAAUUCCCCGGUGUAGUGGUGGAAUGCGUAGAUAUCGGGAGGAACACCAGUGGCGAAGGCGACUACCUGGCCUGUUUCUUGACGCUGAGGCGCGAAAGCUAGGGGAGCAAACGGG
rnacentral:rRNA from 1 species